rnacentral:rRNA from 1 species
AGUGAACGCUGGCGGUAGGCCUAACACAUGCAAGUCGAACGGCAGCACAGUAAGAGCUUGCUCUUACGGGUGGCGAGUGGCGGACGGGUGAGGAAUACAUCGGAAUCUACUUUUUCGUGGGGGAUAACGUAGGGAAACUUACGCUAAUACCGCAUACGACCUACGGGUGAAAGCAGGGGAUCUUCGGACCUUGCGCGAUUGAAUGAGCCGAUGUCGGAUUAGCUAGUUGGCGGGGUAAAGGCCCACCAAGGCGACGAUCCGUAGCUGGUCUGAGAGGAUGAUCAGCCACACUGGAACUGAGACACGGUCCAGACUCCUACGGGAGGCAGCAGUGGGGAAUAUUGGACAAUGGGCGCAAGCCUGAUCCAGCCAUACCGCGUGGGUGAAGGAGGCCUUCUGGUUGUAAAGCCCUUUUGUUGGGAAAGAAAAGCAGCAGGUUAAUACCCCGCUGUUCUGACGGUACCCAAAGAAUAAGCACCGGCUAACUUCGUG